GAACUAGCUCAGUCAGUAGAGCUUGGAACUCUUAAUCUCAGGGUUGUGGGUUCGAGUGCCCUGUUGGGCA